rnacentral:rRNA from 1 species
UGGGGAAUUUUUCGCAAUGGGCGAAAGCCUGACGAAGCAACGCCGCGUGGAGGAUGAAGGCCUUCGGGUCGUAAACUCCUGUCGACCGGGACGAACGCUGGUGGGUCCAAUACACCCGCCAGUCGACUGUACCGGUGGAGGAAGCCACGGCUAACUCUGUGCCAGCAGCCGCGGUAAUACAGAGGUGGCAAGCGUUGUUCGGAAUUACUGGGCGUAAAGGGCGCGUAGGCGGUUCUGUAAGUCCCGCGUGAAAUCCCCCGGCUCAACUGGGGAACUGCGCGGGAAACUGUGGGGCUAGAGUUCAGGAGAGGGAAGCGGAAUUCCGGGUGUAGCGGUGAAAUGCGUAGAUAUCCGGAGGAACACCGGUGGCGAAGGCGGCUUCCUGGACUGACACUGACGCUGAGGCGCGAAAGCUAGGGGAGCAAACGGG